rnacentral:rRNA from 1 species
CGUAACAAGGUUUCCGUAGGUGAACCUGCGGAAGGAUCAUUACCACACCUAAAAAACUUUCCACGUGAACUGUCAAACCUGUUCUGUGCUUGUGCUGGGUCUGCGUUUUCGGACGCGGACGCGGCGGAGGCUGAACGAAGGCUGGUUUCAUUUGUAUGAGAUCAGCUGAUAUAUUUUUUCAAACCCCUUUUUUACAAAAUGACUGAUCAAUACUGUGAGAACGAAAGUUCUUGCUUUAAACUAGAUAACAACUUUCAGCAGUGGAUGUCUAGGCUCGCACAUCGAUGAAGAACGCUGCGAACUGCGAUACGUAAUGCGAAUUGCAGAAUUCAGUGAGUCAUCGAAAUUUUGAACGCAUAUUGCACUUUCGGGUUAGACCUGGAAGUAUGUCUGUAUCAGUGUCCGUACAUCAAACUUGCCUCUCUUUUUUCUGUGUAGUCAGGAUUGGAGACGUGCAGAUGUGAAGUGUCUCGCGCACUUGCGUCUUCGGACGACAAGCUGUCGAGUCCUUUUAAAGCGACACGAUCUUUCUAUUGUUUCUGUGAAGCGUAUUGCUCGAACGCGGUGAUUUUCGGAUCGCUCGCAGUCGUCGGCGACUUCGGUGAGAACAUAAAGGAGGAAACCUCAAUUCGCGGUAUGUUCGGCUUCGGCUCGACAAUGUUGCUUAUUGUGUGUGGAAUCUGUUUUCGCCUUGAGGUGUACUGAUGGUUGUGUGCUUGAACUGGGAGUUGGUGUGUAGUAGAGUGGUGCAGCAUGCAUGGUUACGCCUUUUAUAUAGAGAGAUGUCUAUUUGGGAAAGUUGUACUGUUUGGCAAGCAUCUUGCCGACUGUAUCUCAAUUGGACCUGAUAUCAGACAAGACUACCCGCUGAACUUAAGCAUAUCAAUAAGCGGAGGAAAAGAAACUAACAAGGAUUCCCCUAGUAACGGCGAGUGAAGCGGGAUGAGCUCAA